GAGUCCAUAUCGACGGGAUGGUUUGGCACCUCGAUGUCGGCUCGUCGCAUCCUGGGGCUGGAGUCGGUCCCAAGGGUUGGGCUGUUCGCCCAUUAAAGCGGUACGCGAGCUGGGUUUAGAACGUCGUGAGACAGUUCGGUCCCUAUCCGCUGUGCGCGUAGGAAUAUUGAGAAGGGCUGUCCCUAGUACGAGAGGACCGGGACGGACGAACCUCUGGUGUGCCAGUUGUUCUGCCAAGGGCAUGGCUGGUUGGCUACGUUCGGGAGGGAUAACCGCUGAAAGCAUCUAAGCGGGAAGCCUGCUUCGAGAUGAGUAUUCCCACCUCCUUGAGAGGGUAAGGCUCCCAGUAGACGACUGGGUUGAUAGGCCGGAUAUGGAAGCCCUGUAAGGGGUGGAGUUGACCGGUACUAAUAGGCCGAGGGCUUGUCCUCAGUUG
rnacentral:rRNA from 1 species